UACGUAGGGACCAAGCGUUGUUCGGAUUUACUGGGCGUAAAGGGCGCGUAGGCGGCAAUUCAAGUCAUCUGUGAAAUCUCCGGGCUUAACCCGGAACGGUCAGGUGAUACUGUUUUGCUAGAGUGCGGAAGGGGCAAUCGGAAUUCUCGGCGUAGCGGUGAAAUGCGUAGAUAUCGAGAGGAACACCAGAGGUGAAGACGGGUUGCUGGGCCGACACUGACGCUGACAGCGCGAAAGCCAGGGGAGCAAACGGG
rnacentral:rRNA from 1 species